rnacentral:rRNA from 1 species
GAUAAACGCUGGCGGCGUGCCUAACACAUGCAAGUCGAACGAUCCCGCAAGGGAGAGUGGCGGAAGGGUGAGUAACACGUGGGAAUCUACCUCCUCGCAGGGGAACAACCUCUCGAAAGAGAGGCUAAUACCCAAAAGGGUCAGAAAUGAUCAGAGUCGAAAGGCGUGAGGAGAGGAGCCCGCGGCCCACCAGCUAGUUGGUGAGGUAAUGGCUUACCAAGGCUACGACGGGUAGGGGAUCUGAGAGGAUGUCCCCCACACUGGAACUGAAACACGGUCCAGACGCCUACGGGUGGCAGCAGUGAGGAAUAUUGGACAAUGGGCGAAAGCCCGAUCCAGCAACGCCGCGUGGGAAGGAUGAAGGCCUUCGGGUCGUAAACUUCUUUAGAGGGAGACGAGAAAGGACGGUAUCCCUAGAAUAAAGCGACGGCAAACUACGUGCCAGCAGCCG